ACACACACACACACACACGUAUAUAUAUAUAUAUAUAUAUAGUAGCUAUCCAUUCUAUCGUGUUAUUUUUAUUACAUUUUUUUGCUUUUUAGUGUUAACGAUUUUAAAUGUAUUCAAGAACUAGAAAUAGCACAGGAUUAUCAUGGAUCAAUUGAGUAUCCAUUAAAGGUAACGUCCCUAUUCAAUGUAAGUUACCUGACUCUUUAUUUUUAUGAGAAUUAUGGAGCAGAAACAACAAAAAUAUUUUAUAUAGGUAUUUAUAUAUAUAUAUAAAUUAUGAGGACUAUGCUGCACUUGUGUUUUUUGUUUUUAAAGUUACACUACUAUUAAUACUUGUACAUAUGUAUG
rnacentral:lncRNA from 1 species